UGAUGUUCCAGAAGUUACACGUAAAUGUGUGGUCAAAGUGUUUCUUUAGUAAGAAACUGCUGCACUGACGAGAUCACCGACCGUAGCCUCCGCCACCUUUACCAUAAGGUCCUGUAAUGAACAACAAAAGUCUGGGUGAAUUGAACUUUAGAUUAAGUCCUGGCGUGGGAACUACAAAAUUUAGAUUUUGCUGCCAAGAAAAAUUGUGCCUUAUCGGGGCCACUGGAUGACGACCAACUGCCGGAGUAAUGUUUAUAUCCAUCGGAUCUAAUAAGGAUGGUCAUCAUAGCAUGUCGGAGAAGAAGGGUUUUUUUUGCCUCAUGAACAUCUAAAACUAUUGGGACGGCCCAGUUAUGAUGACCUACUUUGAUCUUCGGUGAGAGAAUUUAUUCUAGUUAAUAGGAAUUUUAAUCGGUUCGUAACUGUCAACAAAGGGCGAUAGGACAAUAAGAAAAUACUCGCUGAGCUUUCACAUCUUUAAAGAUGACCAUUUAUUGUCAGUUGUUUUUGGCGGAGACCUAAACAUCAUCGAAGAACCUGGUUGGGUCAUUACAAACUUCAGAUAUGAUAAGCAUCAAAUUUUUAUUUUAAAUACUAGAAAUGCAGUCUAGAAAGCAGAUUGGGAACAAGUGUAACGGCAGGUAAUUUCAUGUUUAUUUUCAUCGCCAUAAAAAAAUCGCCAAUCAUCAACUUAUAAAUAAAAUUGUUUGUUUUUUUGUUUUGUCCUCCUUUAAACGUUAGCUAUAAAUAAAACCCAUUUCUAAAUUAUUAUUUUGUAAACAGAACGAGCUUUGCGUGAUUCGUUGCGACGGAUGGAAACCGAAAAUGAAACGCGUUAAAAAAAAUUAAGAAAAGAAAAAAGAGAAAUGAAGUUGUCUCGCAAUCGUAGCACAAAUGUGAAUCCUUAUAAUGGCAUGGCGAUGGCUGGAAGAUCGCUUUCCAUCCGGAUAUUCGUCUUGUCCUAAAAUACGAAAGGAAAUAUUUCAACAGCCGUAAACGACGCUCAAUAUUUUAAAAAAAAUGGGGGUAACUUACAAAGUAUUUGGCGUAAGAAAGAAAAACGUUCCAGCCAACAGUCAUAACGUUAACGUACAACACUCGAUAGACAGGUGAUACGUAAAAAAAGUUGAUGAAUUGUGCAGGAGGCCAUACCGAACAGUCGGUCUGAAUAAAUUGAUUAAAAUUGUUUGUUAGGUAAAGCCAAAUGACUGGGAACACGACGGUCAACUGGAAAUUGAUGGAAUGCAAAGUGUUAACACGAACGACACGCUGGUAAAGUGUUCAAAUUUUUGAAUAUUAUUAUUUUGAAAAUCAAAUAAGAAACUCGGAAAAAUUGUCCUGGUUUUUUAUGGUAGAGCUGUUGGAUAAGCAAUAACUCGUUAUCAUGAAUUGUUCAACAUUUGUUGCAUGGAUAAUGUACCUCUGAAUGUUGAGACAUGCUCUUCUCAGAACAGGUUCAAGAUGGAAUUUACACAUCCUUUGUGAAAGCUAUAAGUAAAUUCAAAAAGCUUUGGCUAAGGUAAAAGUCAAAUUCUCUCAAUUUAAUCUUUAAAAAAAAAACUUAAGUCAAUUUCAACUUGAGAACUUUGAGAUUUUCUUUCCUUUUUGUCACCGUUUUCCUGUGAAGGUGAAAGAAUGAGAUCACAAUUUCAGGUGCUUCAUUAAAUUUAAUUUAAACGAAAAACCUCCUGAUGACCUGUUGAUCAGCCAUUGCGAAAAAAACAUGAGCAUUAUAGAUCACCACUAGCAUUGCUUACAUUCUAGAGAUCAUAGAUAACGGACAAGUCGUAUGAGAUUACGUGUGACGUCUAGAUCCCGUAUCGAUAAUGCCACUACAAACAAGACUUUGUAUUGCAACACCAUACUGUAACUAUAUCCCCACCACACCCUAAUAACUAAUAGCAAAGCUUUCUGCACUGGAGUUAUGGGAAUGUCUGGAACAUUCCGAUAGACUCUGAUAAAUCAUCUACUUGAGCUAAAUCUCAUAGGCAUAGGAUACCAGCAAAAAAUGUACCUUGUAAACCAUCAGGAAUUUGGAUUUCAAUUCGUCCCACGCUUGCCGGGUCGUGCUUCCCUCCAGGAGGCCAGCUCCCAUGAAAAAGGAGACGUUGUUAAACGGGGAAAAGAUGGUCUGAUCAAGCAGAAUCUUUUUGCCGACACAAAGGAGUGAGGCUCCCGGGAUAGCGCGGUCCAGAAACUUGUACCAGAAAUGAUGCGGAAGGCCCAGGGUUAAGCCGAUUGCCAUCAUUCGACCUGAUGUUGCGGUGAGCAGAUUUGAAUGUUUACGUCUAGUGGAAAGUCAUUAGUGAAUAAUCAAGUCACCUGAUCGUUUCCAAUCAUAUCGCUCCUUAUUCUUGUUCUUACUGCCGCUCGUUUUAGAGUGUUCAAUAGUCUGUUGAAUAAGAUCUCCGGCCGCCAAAAGAAUCCCUGAAAAAUGGUUUUUUCAAUGCGAAAAAGUUUUAUUUUUUAUUCCUUAGCAAUCGAAGCAGUUUGUAAUUUAGGAUGUUCGUGAAGUUCUUACCACCGCUGGCAGUGUUGGUUACCCAUAGAUAUCGACCAAAUAAAAUCCCUUUCAGUUUUGAUAUAACGGCCAUUUGUCGGUUUGGUGACUUUUUUCAUCACGCGUCGGAGUUUUUUUUUAAGAAAGGAAGGGUAGACCUUAUGCUCAGUUUGAAAUUUUGAAUGGCGAUUGAACAACUUAGCGUCCCUUAUAUAUCCCCUGCCACGGUUCGAUAUCCCGCCACGUCUCUCUCAGCACAACCUUUGAAAGUUUUAUUUGUUGAUGAUAAGGUUUUUUUUUUUUUAUGUAUCACGCCAUUAGAAAAAAAUGCGCUUACGAAAUCAAGUGAUUCCUAUUGUUCUCCCCUUCAGCCACGAAAUUUUGAAAAGAAUUAUUGGAAUCGUGCAGAAGUUGCGAUUGUUUUUCAAUUUUGAAAAACUUUACGCCAUAUGACAAUCCCCAUAUCGUCGAUGAUAUUUUUCCAAAGGAAUCAGAACAUCGUGCCCCGUGUACUCCCAACUACCGUUUCGUUCGUGAGCAGACGAACCAUCGAAGGAGCCUCCAGCCAGAUACUAGAAGAAGCCAAACAUUGUUUUGACAAGUACUGGCAUCUUUGGCAGGUUUUCCCUAAAUACCAAGUAAGUAAGAGGAUUAAUCGUUUUAAAUGUAUGAUUUUUUUAUUCUACUCUAUGUAGAAUAAAAAGUAGUAGUGUGUAGUAGUCGGAACUGAAAUUAUACUUUUAGAACCUUUGAAACAUCGCAUAAUUUUUAUUUACAAUAGUUUAAUUUUACAACUAUCAGAAUCAGGUUAACCAUUUAAAGGAGAACAAAGUUCAUUUUUUAGAUUUCCGGAAUUUUGACUUCUGGUUUGACUUCCGGUUUAAAAAUGCCAAACAACUACUAACUUGUUGGUCUGUCAGAAAAAAGAUUCAUAUUAUCGUGAUCCUCGUCAAAUUUGGGGUCGACUCCAUGUAUCAACUCAAAAUACCCCAAAAUCGUCAAAAAUCGCAAAUUUUCCUGUGAAAAAUCACGAUUUUUGGUCAAAUCCAACUUUUGGCUAAAAACAAGUCAUUCCCAACCCAAAUUUAAUAAGGAUCACGAAAAUCCUACUCGUUUGUUAUGGGAUCACUAUUUCCGGUGAUAUUGGCUACUUCCGGUUACUUCCGGAAAAUUUUCGUGACAAUAUGCAAAAAGUAAAAAAUGAGCUGUAUUGAUCUAACAAUUUCAAAUACUUUCUCGCAUGCGUUAGGGUUUGGUAGCUAUUAUUCCGUAUUUUUCUUGCUUUCAACACUACAGGCUGAUCCUACGAGCUACGACAGCUUUACCUACAAAUGUUUAGCGUUUCGUGCUGCAACUAGUAGUUGAUAUUCUAGGAUAUUAUGCCUAAAAUUGGAAUUCAGCUAUCAGAGAUUAGCAAAAUUCAAGUACUUAAAAGCAAGUAUUGUACUUAUUUCAACAUUCAAAGUAAAAUAGAAUGUUUGGUUCUAGGCGGAAACUCUAGAUGGCGUUUAUGUGCAUCUAUGAUAAAUAUCAUGAAUGACAGGUUAAAUGGGUGUUUGUUACGUUACCCUGUUAUGUGUUUUAAAGGAUUUUUCGUCAAAAAAUUUACGAUUGCUGUUUGUACGUGGUGUUGUUUCGCCUUGUCAGCAAUGCCAGCGCCUGAACCAGCAGCCUGCAUUCCUGCUAUCAAUGUACCACAAGGGAUCCUGACACUUUAAGAAAGCCACUAUUCCUUACAUGAAGAUCACCAUCCAGUUCAAGUACUGUUAAUGGACCUCAAGCCUUUUGUUUAAGCUUAGUGAUGUGUUAUCUUGUCAGUCAACAACAGAGUCUUCAUCUACUUUGUGUUGCUAACCAUCAGCCCUCAGCAUCCCAGGUAUCCAGAUUUCCAAGUUUCUCUGAUUAGCCAACCAUCAUCCAUACCCUUCAGCUCUUCAAUGUGGCUUCUUUUCCUCUCUUCUUAGUCUGCUGAAUGCCAACAUUGAAUAAGGUUCAUCGUCAUUGCCUUUCCAUGGUAUUUUCAUUUGGUGGAUUAUCUAGCUGCUGUUCUUCUCACCAUUACUUAGCCAGCUCACGUGGAUAGGCUUUAACAACAUCUCCAUUUUUUGGACUGCAAAUAUUCAUCUUCCUUCGGUACAACUCUGCCGUUUGACAAUUUCGGUAGUUUUCCCCCCCAGUGGACCACACGCAACUACAUUUUCUUCGUCUUUCUGUCGUUGUUGUCUACGACUUCACCUCAUCGCUGUCUUCGUUGACGUCUUCGCCUUCAUCUCCGUCUCGUCGUCUUGGCCGUCUUCGAUUUGGUUUCAUCGUCGUCUUCGCCGUCUUCGCCUUUUUUUCAUCGUCGUCUUGGCCGUCUUCGCCUUUGUUUCAUCGCCGUCUUGGCCGUCUUUUUCUACGCCAUUACUUCGUCGCCGGCUUCUCCUUCGCGUUCACCGUGGAUCGUCGUCCUGGUAUUGUUUUAUUUUGCAUUGUUAUGUUUAAGUUAACCCGUUGGCUGCCACCCCGUUUGCGUCCCAUUUUUUUUGUAGCUUGUAGGGACCGGCCGCAAUGGCCUUCGCCGCAAGGCGCCUUAGGCAA